UUAUUAAUUUCUCCUCAGUGAAAUUCAAUUUAUUCUCAGUGAGAGUGCUAUAGACUGAAAUAUAUCCCCUUCCUCAAAAUUCAUAUGCUGAAGCCCUAACCCCCAUGUGACCGUAUUGGAGACAGAGCUUUUAAGGAUGUGAUUAAGAUUAAACAAGAUCAUAAGAAUGGAGCCCUGUAUUUAGGGUUCUUUAGAGAAAUAGACCCAAACUUAUUUUAUAUAUAAAAAAUAAGUUAUUUUGCAGAAUCCCAUCUGGGAAUAUUCCCAACUCCUUAGGCUCAUAUGAUUAUGGAGGCCAAAAAGUCCUGUGAUCUACUGUUUGCAAGCUGGAGACAUAGUAAAGCUGGUGGUGUAGUUUGAAGGUCUGAGAGUUAGAGAGUUGGUGGUGUAGCUUCCAAUUUGGGACUAAAGUCUGAGAACCAAGUGCACGAAGGGCAAAAGACUGAUGCCUCGGCUCAAGCAAUCAGGCAGAAAGUGAAUUCAACCUUCUUUGCCUUUUUGUUCUAUUCAAGCCCUCAACAGAUUGGAUGAUGCCCACCCACACUGGUGAGGGCAAAUCUUCUUUACUCAGUCUAAUGAUUUAAAUGUAAUCUCUUUUGGAAACAUCCUCACAGACAUACCCAGAAGUAAUGUUUUACCAGUUGUCUGGACAUUCUGAUGCCCCAUUCAAGUUGACACAUAAAGUUAACCAUCCAUAAGCCCUGAACUGGUAAAAGUGUUAUCCUUAUAAAAGAGAAAGUGACAUCAGAGUGUGCUUUUUUUCUCUCUUUGCCAUGUCUGCACAUAGUGAGAAGACAGCCAUCUGCAUGUCAAGAAGAGGACCUCACCAGAAACUGAGUUGGCUGAAACUUUGAUCUUGAACUUCCCAGCCUCAAGACCUGUGAGAAAUCAAUUUCUGUCAUUUAAACCACCCAGCAUAUGGUAUUUUACAAUGGCAGUGUGAGCAGAUAGAGGAGUUUGCUCUAGAAGUGAGCUCAGGAUUGCAAGGUUUGAGAAUUCCUAGAACCAACAUUAUUUCUGCAUGUGAUGACCUUCCCUCAUGUCCUUGCCUUUACCUGUGCAUCAGUUUGCUGAUCCCAUCUAGGAAUGUUCUUAACCUCUUAGGCAGUUACUAAGAGUGAUUUUAGAUGCUCUUGUUCUCAGGGCACUCAGAUUCCCCAUUUUCCUCUUUCCAUUUGCUCCCACAUGAAUACCAAGUGAAUCCUGUCAAUACUGGUGGUUCAUUCCUUCUUCUCAUAUUUUUGGAUUCUUAUCCACUAGUUUUAUUGCAGAUCAGUAUAUCCUUUUGAUAGUGUAGUUUUAGCCUAGGGAUCACUAUAUCAAUAAAUAUGUGACUUACAUGGACUUCAUAGGCCACACCUACAAAUCAUUCUGUACUUUUAGUCUUGAUGUGAACUGAAGAAUACCACUUAUGAAGCAGAAGGGUGAUAAUAGACUAUCCGGGAGCUUUAUCGUACUGGACAGGUCUCUGAAUCAGCUUAAGCCUAACGAGCUAGUUGAUCUAAAUUUCACUAUAUUUAAGCUUUAUCUCUGAGCCAGAUCUAACCAUCUUCAGAACAGAGAAAUGAGAGUUUUGGAUUUCAUUCCACUUCUGUUUUAAAAAAUAUUCUCCAACCUCGAAAAAUAUAUGUCUGCACCCAGUGAAAUUCUUAACCUCUUGGAAUCACUUUGUUCUUAAAUAACAAGGCCUUGAUCCUCUAGUAGAACUAAAAUUUACAAAGUUAUUAACUGUAAAGGUAUCCAAUUAUUUUCAAAGUAAGUCUGAAGUUAUGAGCUAAUCAUAUAUAUGAGAAAAGAAAUCAUAGUUGAAUCAUGGUCAAUUUUUCCUUAUCAGAGAAGAGACAUGGAUUUACACUGAGUUCUCUAAGUCAGCUAUUUUAUAUGCAUAUGAGUUUUAAAUAGUAAAUAUUUCUUUCCUGAAACAUUGAUGUGUAAAUCUGGGACAUAUCCUACUUUAGGAAGUUGUUCUGUAAUAAAAUAUAAGGCUUGGAGCUAUUUAAAAAAAACCAGUGCCCUACCAUUGCUAAAAGUUUCAAUUGUUCAGGGACAGAAUAAGUGAUGGGAUUUAGAAAAUCAUAAUGAUGGCUUUGACAUUUCUAGUUUAUUUUGUCCAAUUAUUAAUUACAAGUGUUAUUUGAUUUUUCUGCAUAUUUCUCCAUCAAUGAGUAAAAGCUUUUGAUCUGUGUUCUAUGUGGAACCCCAUGGGGAGAGAGAGAUAAAUAAUAGGAAAGAGUGAAAUAAAAGGAAAUGGAAAUUAGAAAAAUAUUUGCUUUUAUAGAUUUUAAAUACUGAAUUCACAUUCCAAUAAAUUUAUCUUUUUUGAAGGUUUUAAAAAUGCGAACUCAAUAAUCUACAAAUAGACUGUUUUUGUCUAUCUACUAUGUUUUAUAGGAUUUUUUUCCCUUAGUGAUACAAAAUAGUUUCUAACUUGGUCCCCAAAUUGCUUAUUGAUAUGUCUCCCAAGGUACUUCUGUCCUCUGUGGUGGAGAAUAAAGGGAAGCCAGGAAGUGUGGGUCAGGAUCUCUGGGAAACUGCUGGCUUCUAGCAAGGCUGGCACGGGUGUGUUCCCAUGGAAGGAAAGAACCAAAGGUGCUGGUGAGUAGCUCACCACAGGGGUCAGCCCUGCAGCCCUCUCUGUGAGAUUGUCCUCAGCCUGUGCCUUGGGAAGUAGAAUUUCCUAUAUGUUCUCCACUUAGCAUGUUAUCAACAAUAUACCCCAUCAGGCACUCCAUAAAUAAAUGAAUGGAAAUCCUCCAAAUCAGGAUAAAGCUCAAAUACUGUCUCUUCUGUGAAGACUACUUGGAUCCCCCAAUCAAGAACAAUCCUUUACACUUCCCUUCUCUGGCUGCCUGACAUGAGACAUAUUUCCUGGUGUUGACUAAAUCCAGGGCUCACCCUAAGAUUUUUACCAGAGAGUAAGAAUGUGGGAAUAAUUGUAUAUCCCAUGGGUGGCCACAUGUAUAUAUUUAUCCCAUCCCACAUGCUCUUCUUGCAGUCUGACAGACACUCCCCCACCAGGAGCUGGGAGUGACGGGAGUGAUGUUCUCUACUCUUUAAUUGGGGUAUAGUCUUGUGCAUCUCUUGACUGCCGCAACAGGGUAUGGUGGAAGGAAUCCCAUGUGGCUUCUGAGGCUAAGAGGCUAGAUCACAAAAAGGAGAGGUUUUUUUUUGUUUUGUUUUGUUUUGUUUUGUUUUCUCUCUAUCUCUGUCUCCCAUGAAGCUUACCCUUGGAACUCAGCUGCUAUUUUGUAAGGAAGUCCAUGCCUCUGCUAGAUCUGCAGCCAAUAGCCAGCCUCACCACCAGAUGUGUAAAUGAGCCUCAGAUGAUGCCAGCCUCACCCUUCGAGUCUUCCAGUUGAGGCCCCAUUGUGCAGAAGACAUAAGGCAUUCCCACAUGCCCUGUCUGAACUUCUGACCCACAAACACUAUCAGAGAUAAUAAAUGAUCAUUGUUUUAAGUUACUAAGUUUUAAGUUACUUAAUUAUGCAGCAAUAAAUAGAUAAUCAAUACAAAGGCGCAUACUGUUCCAUGUAUAAAUGUCUACCGUAUCUUUCAUGCCUUCUUCCAACCCUAACUUGUAACACUUUUGUAGCAAUUAGUGCCCAAUUUGCACAUGAAAUACAAAUCAUAUUUCUGUAAAUGGUCAUGAGGGUUAAAUAAAGAUCAUACAUGAAAGAGCCAGGCAGGGUGUUCAGUAAUAUGAAGUACUCAGUAAAUGUUAACUACACACGAAUUUGCUGAAACAUGUUUCUUAUGUUUAAAUAAUGAAUUUGCUUUUCCUUGUAUAUCUUGCCUGUAUGACACAAAAGGACACAGUCUGAUCACAUCAGUUCAGCAAAGGCAAGCCUCAUCAGUUGGUAAAAAAAAUUGGUUUAAUGAAUUGCAAUCACACAAACAAAACUACAACUUACUUGAUUAAGUUUUCCACCUCUCAUCUGGUUUCUCUACCUUAUAUUUGUAUUCUGAUUCUGUCCUUUUAUUGGUUUUCCUUUCCUUUUAAGUCCUUGGAUGAAUUUUUAAAUAUCUAUUGCAUUUUUUUAUGUGGCCAAAGUCUCUUGAAUAAGGUCUUAUUGAAAUUUCUUCAAUGGCUGGAUAAAAUUGCAUCCCAACUCAAUUUUUGCAUCCUGGCACAGGAAGUGGUCUCAAGUAUUGCAGAACUGGAUGGAGACUCGUAGGCCCUCUGGGCAGGCUAAUACUUUGCUUUCCCAUCACAUGGAUAUUCAUAAAAUAUUUGUUAGAUGUUAUGUAGGAGUGAGGCUAGAGAAGGCUAGCAGGACCAGGGCUUACUCACAUUCUGGCUCUGUAAGACAGUGAUCUGGCUGUGAUGGCCACAGUUGAUUGGCUGUCUUCUCAGCCCUCCGCAAAUGCACUCAUCGGGAGCAGGUUAACCUUCUCAAGUAGAGGAUGUUCCUGUGUUCUGUCAAGGAUAUACAGGACACAGUCUGUGCCGAUGCUUUUUUCGUGCAUGAAACAUAUCAUCUUAAGAAGAUUUGCAAGUCCGUUUGUGUGUAGUACAGCAGCAAGGAUCGUAGACCUGGUGUCAGCAAGCCUGGACACACAGUUUCUCUGAGCCUUUCAAAUGAAGGUCUUGGAUAAAAUCACUUUUAAAGCUCUUGCCUGCUAUAUUAUUUCAUCUCUUUCUUAUAUGAGCUGCAUGAUAAAUGAGUAUAGAAAAAAGAAUACACAUGCUUUACAAGAGAAAUUCAAAAGAAUUAACCUAUAUAUCCUUUUAGGUUAAUUAAAAUAGAAUUCUGACUUACGAGGUUUCCAUCUAAUUCAGAGCUAAUACUUUAAAGUUUUUACAAAAUCUUCGUAAAACAAAACCAGUGAGUAAUAUAUUACCAACUAUAGGAUUCAUGAAAAAAUGGGAGUCAAAUGAAGCACUGCCACAUUGAUCAAAUCAUUGUACAAUUUUUAGAAAUAACAGCAUGUGAACCUUGAUGUCACUGCUGCAAAUGCAUUUCUAUAUUUUGUGUAUAGUUUUGAAAAAUUUGUAGCCUGAUGCUACAAAUAUGUAAUAUAAUUUCCUUCAGAAAAUAAUAUUUAUAAUUAUCAGUACCCAAUGAUUGCAUGCAAGAGAAGUUUACUUGUUGGCUGAAUUACAUUUAUUGAGAAGUAAGAAAAUAAAAGAUCCUGGAACGAUCACUACAGUAACGAAACGGCUGAGUUGCCCACAGUUAAACUGCUGGGACUACCAGUUGGAAAUCAGACAAUGAAGAAGGAGAAGACAUGAGUUCUAAUAAGGUGAAAAUUGUUCUUCAGGGAAAAUGGAAUAUUAAACAUAGUUUGGUUUUGCAAACACUCUAGGUUAUGUAAAAUGUAAAGAUGAAGCUAGAAAUUCAAGUCUGGAAAGAACUAUAGAUACCUAGAUACACUGAGCUUUGACUACAGUGGCCUAUUUAUACAUAGCUACUGGUUACUUCCACUGAAUUGUAUUUACGAUUUAAAAUUUAUGAGAUUUUAAUGAAUUAAAUAAAAGUCUGUGGCUGUAGAAAAGCUAUUUCUCUUGUCCUGAAAAUGCUCUGAUUGCUUUAAUUUUCUCACAACUCCCUUUUUUUCUUUUCACUCUUCUCUCUCUCUGCCCCAUUCUUUCUCUCAAGGUUGGGGUGUUCUUUCUUGUGUAAGCUGCUGCAUAGAGGUGAGAUAUAGGAUAUAUAGAGAGUGCUGAUUAAUUUAUAAAAUCUUGAAGUUCCUUUCCAUUGUUAAUUUAUUUUAAAAGUUAUUUCAUCAUAUUAAUGAAAAUUAAAUAAUAUUCUGCAAAAUAACUGGCUUGUAUUUGUCAAAAAUUCAAGUUCAAGAAAGGCAACGAAAAACUGAGGAGCCAUUUGAAAUUGCAGAAGACACAAGAGUUGACAACGAAAUGUAGUCCACCUGAUUUGAGAUUUCAUCCUGUACUGGAAUAUUUAGAAGAAGGAGCACAAGAAAGAGGACACCCUUAACAGAAAAGUUAUUCAUUUCCAAUUUAAGACUCAUCAAGGGAUAAAAUCUGAAAACUUAUAAAGGAUACUUAUUACAGAAAAAAUUUAAGGGGAAACUGGUGCUGUGGAGAGACCCAUGUGGAAAGGAACUGAGGACUCCCGGCAAAAGUCACCAAGGACCGAGGUUGCUGACAGCUGCAUGUGAACUCGGAAGCAGAUCAAUCCUUGCCCAAGCCCACACUUUGUCUACAGCCUUGGUGAGAGACCCUGAGCCAGGGAUGCACAUCCAAGCUGCACCCAAACUCUUGACCCACAGAAACUGUGAGAUGAUGAAUGUGUUUAAGCCCCCAUAUUGUGGAGUCAUUUAUUACACAGCAAUAGAUGGCUAAGAUGAGCACUAUUUUUAUCCCCUUGUGAGUUCAUGGCUUGGUCUCCCUACCUCCCACUGACUAAAUGUGGCUAAAGCAAAAUCCAAUAACCAGCUGUCUCUGAACAAUAUUAACUGAAUGCCUACUGUUUACUAGCAUGACAGGAAUUCAAAAGAGUUUAUGAGGGAAAUGGCCACAGUGAGGCAGAGGAUUUACAUGCUGGGAAGGCUUCAUCCUGGCAAAUUACCCAGGGCAGACCUUCCCUCCUUCACUGUCUAAAAUAUCCAACUCUUAUAGUUUCAAAUCCCCAUCUCUUAUUGUCUGUCUUAUAGAAACCACCCUGACUCCUCAAAUACAGUCACUCCAUUCCCUAUGA